AGCCGAUAAAGGUAAACUCCGGGAAACCCGAGGGCACAAAACUACAGACCUGAAGUCGUUUAAGACCGGGAAGGCCCACUGAAGUUAUGGGGCAAAUAAAGAUAAUGAGCGCGGUUGACGGGCGAUAUGGUGGCUGAGUUGCCGAA
rnacentral:ncRNA from 1 species